CGCAAGUAGAGGCAAAUAACCCCACCGAAGCUGGCUCAAGUGGUAACCAGCCUCCAAGCCAUGACGAUUACGAAGCUUGGAGGAGACGUGAUAUAUCUAGUAGUAACCAGCCUCCAAUGUGGGACGAAUACCUACGUACGAGGAUGCGUGAUGAUUCGAUGUGGGAUAACAUGUUUAUGCUUACAAUAGCAGCAGCAGAGGAAAGCGCAUUGCCAGUGUUUGAGCGAAUGCCAGAAUACAAUAUCGGCUUACGUGGACGAGACUAUAUAAUUGCAAUUCUCAAUGGACAUCCGAAUAACUGUUGGAACUUAUUUCGGAUGGAGAUAUAUGCAUUUGAAGCGUUAUGCAAUACAUUGCGGGCGAAUGAAUAUCUAACAUCAACAAGAGAGGUUUCUGUGGAGGAAGCUUUGGCAAUGUUUGCAUAUACAGUCGCACAUGCCAAAGUUCAACGAAUCACAGCUGACCGGUUUCUGUGGAGGAAGCUUUGGCAAUGUUUGCAUGUACAGUCGCACAUGCCAAAGUUCAACGAAUCACAGCUGACCGGUUUCAACACUCUACUGAAACAGUUAAUCGGCAUGUCUAUGCAGUGAUGGUUGCCCUAUCUAAUAUUGCUCCUGAUGUAAUUGCACCUACACAUACUACUGGGGUAGCACCUUAUAUUCAAGGCAAUCCAAAAACAUUAUCCAUGGUUUGAGAAAUGUAUUGGUGCAAUUGACGGUACUUAUAUCGAUGCAUGUGUGCCUGCCGAGGCAACUAACGCGUAUCUAUCUUGUUAUCAACAAGUUAGCCAAAAUGUGCUGGCAGCCUGUGAUUUCGACAUGAAAUUCACAUUCAUAUAUGCUGGUUGGGAAGGCACUGCCCAUGAUGCACGCCUAUUUAUGGAUGCAUUGAGUCGUCCAGGGAUCGAUUUUCCAUUGCCUCCUGAGGGUUAUUAUUACUUGGUUGAUUCCGCCUUUCCGUGCACACUUGGGUUUAUGCCCCCAUACCCCAGGGUGCGGUAUCAUAUGUCUGACCGGCAUAGCAAUAGCUCAUUCUCUGGAUAUCAAUAUUAUUUUAAUUAUCGACAUUCUUCCCUCCAGAAUGUGAUUGAGCGUACAUUCGGUGUGCUAAAAAAACGAUUUCGAAUUUUGAAAUCAAUGAACCCAUACAAAGUGACACGACUACGGUAUAUUAUCAUUGCAUGUUUUGUCAUGCAUAACAUUAUUCGAUCAAUUACACCAAAUGAUAAGAUAUGGCGUAAAUUUAAUAAUCUGAAUCUUGCUGA